UGCGGUAGUAGGUUCUU
rnacentral:miRNA from 1 species